UGUUAACCCUCCUCUUCUGAAGAACCUUCGCCAACUCAAUGGACUUACCCGUCAGAGUGCCUACGUUCCACGAUCCUAUCCUUAAUCUAUGAGCGUCUUCUACCCUCUUCCCACCCUUGCCUCCGGCCCUACCCACAGAACCGCUCCCAUGCCUCCUGCUCGCCCCUGCCCCCACCCCCGCCCCCGAGGACAUGACCUUACUCUACCAUCCCCCGCCGUGGCCACUAUCCCCAAUCGAUUACGGGAAACGGUGAUGCAGCCACGUACUACAGCGGAAUAUGCAAAAGGAUACAAGCUAGGAAUCGACAAAGUAAACACACACAGGGUGCUUAAAUAGAAAAUGUAAAAGCGUGUACAGAGUAAAUAAAAAGGGGGAUCGGGAGGUACCAACUCCCGAUGGAAAAACCUGAAAGUAUGCUUUGAUUUGCCUGAUAUCAACUACCGCUAUCUCUUGCACACUUCGUCCGUGUUGUUUUGCUCUUCGCGUCCAAAUGUCGUAAGCUCUCCUUGUCCGCCGCGGCUUGUACCUGAAAAUCACGCACACAACAAACAAAAAAAAAACA
rnacentral:lncRNA from 1 species